rnacentral:lncRNA from 1 species
UUGGUUGACUGUUAUGGAAUAUCCGUUUCACACAUGAUAUCGGUUAAAUAUAAAAAAAAAAAAAAAAGAAGAUGUGGUAUGAUUGCCAAUGAGACAACUAUCCACAAAAGAACAAAAUGACACAGACAUUAACAACUAUAGGUCACCGUACGGCCUUUAACAAUGAGCAAAGCCCAUACCGCAUAGUCAGCUAUAAAAGGCCCCGAUAAGACAAUGUAAAGCAAUUCAAACGAGAAAACUAACGGCCUUAUUUAUGUAAAAAAAAUGAACGAAAAAAACAAAUAUGUAACACAUAAACAAACGACAACCGCUGAAUUACCGGAUCCUUUAGGUUAUUGAUAAUGCCCGAAA